rnacentral:rRNA from 1 species
UACAGGGGGUGCAAACGUUGCUCGGAAUUAUUGGGCGUAAAGAGCUCGUAGGCGGUUUCGUAAGUCGGAUGUGAAAACUCAGGGCUCAACCCGGAGACGCCAUCCGAUACUGCGAUGACUGGAGUCUGGUAGGGGAUCACGGAAUACCUGGUGUAGCGGUGAAAUGCGCAGAUAUCAGGUGGAACACCGAUGGCGAAGGCAGUGAUCUGGGCCAGUACUGACGCUGAGGAGCGAAAGCGUGGGGAGCAAACAGG